GGGGUUAUAGCUCAGUGGUAGAGUGAGGGAUUGCAAUUCCCCAGGUCACUGGUUCAAAUCCGGUUGGCCCCU
rnacentral:tRNA from 1 species